UACGUAGGAUCCGAGCGUUAUCCGGAAUCACUGGGCGUAAAGCGUGAGCAGGUGGUAACAUAUGUCAGAUGCGAAAUCUUGCGGCUCAACCGUAUAGACUGUAUCUGAAACUGUGUUGCUCGAGGUCGGUAGAGGCAAGCGGAAUUUGUGAUGUAGCAGUGAAAUGCGUAGAUAUCACAAGGAACACCAAUGGCGAAGGCAGCUUGCUGGGCCGCACCUGACACUCAGUCACGAAAGCGUGGGGAGCGAACGGG
rnacentral:rRNA from 1 species